rnacentral:snoRNA from 15 species
UUUUAAUGAUGAUAAAAUUUGUCAAAUGCAAGUAGGGACAUGAGAAUAUAAAUAUGUUCGUUAUUGUUAUCUGAAAAAA